rnacentral:rRNA from 1 species
UACGAAGGGGGCAAGCGUUGCUCGGAAUUAUUGGGCGUAAAGCGCACGUAGGCGGCUUGGCAAGUCGGAUGUGAAAUCCCUCGGCUCAACCAAGGAAGUGCAUCCGAAACUGCUAAGCUUGAGUACGUAAGAGGAUCGCGGAAUUCCCGGUGUAGAGGUGAAAUUCGUAGAUAUCGGGAGGAACACCAGUGGCGAAGGCGGCGAUCUGGGAAGAUACUGACGCUGAGGUGCGAAAGCGUGGGGAGCAAACAGG